AUGAUCCGUCCUUCGAAUUCUAACCCCUUGGCUGAUAAGAAUGUUUGACAGGAGCUAUAUGCACUUUUAUAUAUCACCGUACACUAAGAUUCAAAUAUAUAUAUAUAUAUAUAAUAAGUUGCACAAGAAUGAUCUCACUGAAUACAGACUUCUCGAUCAAAUAAGAAUAUAUUGCACAACACUUGGGUAAGUCGAUUCCUCUCAAAGUUUGCGCACUGAUAAUUCCGAUGUGUACAAAUAUUUGUUCACAGGUUGAUCGAGGUUAACGAGCUGAUAUCGCGUUACAAAUAAGCGCGAGUUCUGUGUACAGAGAAAUUAAUGGAACGUACGUUCAUGAUGGAACAGCAGGUACUACUGGAGCCAGACAUAAGAAUGGAAUAGAGCGUGCAGUGCGAGUCAGGCGGAAUCCGAAUGCCGAGAACUAACUACUUGAAGCCAUUCAAUUAAUCGCGUACUGUUGAGCAUCCGUUCGGUGUGAACAAAGCCAUAGGACGGCGAAGGAGAAAGAGAGGGGAGGGCUCUCCAAUCAUCGCAAUGAAUUACAACGAGGCAGUCACUCUCGGUACAGUUAACUACCGGGUAGCCACACUUGGCAGUACUCGUGGUACAAGCGGGAUCACCGAUUACAGAGCUGUUCGGGUCAUCUCCUCGCAAGUCGCAGAGGAACACGUUGGGGCCAUCUUGAUAAUUCACCAGGGGUCCUACAGCCACCGGAAGCUAUCCAAAGAGAACGCUCGAAGUAGCCGUGGUAGGAUCUCACGCGCGCAUCUCGACGGCAGUCUUGAAGUAGUCUCGUGAAAAUACUCGUAGUGUAAGGCCUGAAGUGAGCUGCAUAUAUGCACGGCACACAAGAAAGGUAAACACGAGAAAAGGAUUCACGCAUGUAAAUAAUCUCCUGCUCGCCGCAACAAGAAACAGUCAUGAGCACCGACCCGGUGACUUUCGCAAUGGAAUCCCGCAAUGGAAAUGCACCCGGGUGCAUUCGAUGGCUGUGCUAUAUAUAGGCAGCUACGUAAACAUAGGCAGGUAAUCCCAAUGCGUGAAGUUAGCUGCAGGCAAUAAUAAAAAAUUUUCGUACACGUUCAGUGGCUCCACCCAGAGUCUAACCUAACCUCUUUUGUAUUUCACCGAAAAUAUCGACGAUCGAUCCGACUUGCAUUUCGUUGCGCAACCGGAUGUUGCUCUUUUAUCCGAUUUUCCAUCGAUGCGUCAAGUUUUCUAUGGUAGCCACGUAAUAUAUCUUUUUAUUAUUUUUUUCUUUCUCAUACGUCUUUCUCCUAACCUAAAAUCUUUACCAUCCUCGAAUCUCACUUACGAAUGCACUCCCGUACCUAUACCACAUCCUGCAUCCUGCGUAUACCCCGCUGCGUCCUUCCGGCGCAUCCUGGGACUCCUGGAAAGCGAAAUUCAGGCAACGUCGUACGUCGAUUAUACGCUGGAAAUAAUGCGUGCAGUACGAUGGCGCCAAUACUCCUUCGCUCCGUACCCUCCCCGUCGGCCUUUACUCAGCGAGCUGCUGUCUCGGAUGUCUGCGCCGGCGGCACGGCGGAUCGUUUUUCCUUCGGAACGGCGCCUACGUCGGUUCCCCCGCUCGGCCGUCCCCGACUGGUUUGCCCGUAAACCGAACGGAGAUUCACAGCCGCGGAGUGACCUUACGUUGCAUUACACGCCCAUGCAAUGGACAAUCGAUUGGUGACUUACUGAAUGGAGCUAUUGAUACAGCUUGGGAUAUCCGUUCUCAAAAAAAAAAAGGUCCAUUAUCACCAAGUAUCGCCACGUGAAGAAUGAAUAAGAAUUUUGGAAAAUGUCAAAUUUAAAAAAAAAAGUUUUUUACCCGCCCCCUCAAUUUUUCUCUGUUGAUAUGUAAUAAAAAUAAUACACUGCCAUCUCGAAGUAUCUUCUUGAUCAUUAUAGAUAAUAGUCAAAUGGAUGAAAGUGAUUUCUCAGCCGUUGAGAUAGCCUUGCGAAUAACGACUUAUUUACACAACGAUGGCUUCUAUGACGUUUGAUUUAUCGAGCGUGGUCCAGCGACCCGGGAAGACCAAGAAAUUCUCGUUACAAGCAGGUAGACAGUAUAGGUUAGGUAUUUGGUACGCAUGCUAGUGGCACGUGUGGUAUCCGAUCAUCAGGUGCGUCAUUGUAUAUCAUUUUUAAAUACCCUUUUUAUCCCCACUUCCUUCGUCCCACCGUGAGAACACGCGGACUCGCUAGUCACCCGCACUGAAAGUUCUAUUCGAAAUGCGAAUUGCUCUUGGCGAACUGGCUUCCACCAUCUUGAACGUGGCUAAUAACGUUGACUGGCAAUUGUCGCAAUUAGAGUCCCGGAGUUUACCGCGAGAAUCAGACGCAGCUGUUCGCCACAUUUACAUUGCUUGGAGUGUGCACAUCGGCAAAAAGAAAAAAAAAAAAAAUUUCGAAAAAAAAUUAUGCCCAACGAGCAUCCCUCACUUUGGUUGUUCAUAAAAUCUUGUACAAAAUUUUUUUUUAAAUUAUCAAAAAUCUACCUUCGCCGAUAACCAUUCUUACCCGCUGCACGCGUGAGUCAUGCCUAACUAAUUUCGCCAUAAAAAUGUCCUCUUUCUUCCAGGAGAAAUUCACAGACUGCAACAAGAACCCGACAUAAUUAUUUCAGUACCAAUACACGUAUUCUCAGACAUGACAAAAAAAAAAAAAACUAUAAUUUAAUCUGACAAUUAAUGUUAUACGAAAGUAAAAGGUAAUUGACCCAUAAUAAUAAUAUUGACCAUGCGUGCAGUGUUAAAAUUCGUGCAAAAAUUUCACGCAACAAUGGCGUCAACAAUAUCCACAUCAUUUCCCUCCGUCACCUCCAUCAUAUAGAGCACUACUUGUAUCUUAUCAGGUUGUAAAGCCAACUGAUAACCUAAAGGCAGGUAUAUACGAUGGCAAUCUAAACGACAACAUUGACGACGACCCGUCGGUCGGUUUUCAACAAAAAGGCAGUCACUCCGCGUAGCGAAGGAAUACGAUAUUUUCAAUGGGCGUCAUUAUGAAGCUCCGCGCUAGAAAAUUUCGAGCCAGCCUUUCGCCUUGGCUCGUUAUUAUUGUCCCCGAGUAGCGAUCUAAAAACACGUCUCGAUUUGUCAUGGGGAGAACCGCUUUUCUAAUAAUAUUAGAUCCCAUCGGCCACGCAGAACCGCGAUACCCAGCAUACCUCGAAUCCUCUUACUCACAACGUAUAUAGGCUACUACGCUAAGCAUAUUAAUAUCCACGUGAAUUUUUCUUUCAAAUGCAAACAACGAGUCUACGGUUAUACAUGUAUGCUUUUGUUACAUUAUACAGACCCAUUGAUAUUUAUAUGUUACAAUAAUAACAAUACAAUAAUAUAUAGCAGCGAUAUCCCGAUACAUAAAUUCGUAUAAAUCUCUCUCUCUCUUUCUCUCCCAUAUACAUUAUCAAAAUAACAACCAUAUUAGGCGAUACCAAUUAUCGAUAAUAAUACACCGUGUUACCAAAUCUGAUCAAAGUGCAUCGAAUCGUUCCAUAUAUGGUAACCUGUAUAAAUUCGAUAUCGAUGAUUUUAAUAUCCGCAAUUAAUUCGAGCAUGCAUAAUUAUACGGUUACCCAAUAAAAGAAAUAAACAUUUAUUUUGAUUACAAUUUUUUUCUUCUU